rnacentral:rRNA from 1 species
AUUGAACGGCUGGCGGCAUGCCUUACACAUGCAAGUCGAACGGUAACAGGUUAAGCUGACGAGUGGCGAACGGGUGAGUAAUAUAUCGGAACGUGCCCAAUCGUGGGGGAUAACGCAGUGAAAGUUGUGCUAAUACCGCAUAAGAUCUACGGAUGAAAGCGGGGGAUCGCAAGACCUCGCGCGAGUGGAGCGGCCGAUAUCAGAUUAGCUAGUUGGUGGGGUAAAGGCCCACCAAGGCGACGAUCUGUAGCUGGUCUGAGAGGACGACCAGCCACACUGGGACUGAGACACGGCCCAGACUCCUACGGGAGGCAGCAGUGGGGAAUUUUGGACAAUGGGCGCAAGCCUGAUCCAGCAAUGCCGCGUGCAGGAUGAAGGCCUUCGGGUUGUAAACUGCUUUUGUACGGAGCGAAAAGGCUCUCUCUAAUACAGAGGGCUCAUGACGGUACCGUAAGAAUAAGCACCGGCUAACUACGUG